UACGUAGGGACCGAGCGUUGUCCGGAUUCAUUGGGCGUAAAGAGCUCGUAGGCGGCUGUUCAAGUCGAACGUGAAAACUCGGAGCUCAACUCCGAGCCUGCGUUCGAGACUGGAUGGCUAGAGUCUGGUAGGGGGAUCUGGAAUUCCUGGUGUAGCGGUGGAAUGCGCAGAUAUCAGGAGGAACACCGGUGGCGAAGGCGCCACUCUGGGCCGAAACUGACGCUGAGGAGCGAAAGCGUGGGUAGCAAACAGG
rnacentral:rRNA from 1 species